AGAGGCUCUUUCUUCCACCAGGAAAAGCAACAGAGGAAAAUGGAAUGGGUCAAGUAUCAGGAACAAAAUAACAUCCUUCAGAAUGAUUUUCAUGGCAAAGUGAUUGAGCUGAGAAUUGAAGCCUUGAAGAACUACCAGAAGGCCAAUGACCUGAAAUUAUCACUGUAUUUGCAGCAGAAUUUUGAGCCAAUGCAAGCAUUUUUAAAUCUUCCUGGGUCCCAAGGAAUUAGAAUUGUUUAAUCUUAUUAAUCUUGCUGGAAUAGACUCUGCUACUUCAAAGCAGAAGGCCAAGGAGACAGACAUCUGACAAAGCAUUUCCUUGAGCUCUUCUGAGAAAAACCUGAACGUUGGAUGUACUAUGGGCAUUACAACUAUGGACAGAGUGACUACUGGCAGAAAUGAACACCAUGUGAGAAUUCUGGGAACAAAGAUCUACACAGAACAACAAGGAACUAAAGGAAGUCAGCUUGAUAAUACAGGAGGGAGACUCUUUUUUCUGAGGUCAUUGCCAGAUGAAGCACUGAAGAAUUAGCAGGCUUUCGCUCCAUUUGCUUUGGACAGAUUUAAAGACUAGGCACAGCCAUUUGUGUUAAUUAAAAUCUCUCGCACCUUUG
rnacentral:lncRNA from 10 species